GAUCAUGGCUCAGAUUGAACGCUGGCGGCAGGCCUAACACAUGCAAGUCGGGCGGUAGGGGAGCUUGCUCCUGACGAGCGGCGGACGGGUGAGUAAAGUCUAGGAAUCUGCCCAGUAGAGGGGGACAACGCGGGGAAACUCGCGCUAAUACCGCAUACGCCCUACGGGGGAAAGGUGUUUAUACCGCUAUUGGAUGAGCCUAGAUCAGAUUAGCUAGUUGGUAGGGUAAAAGCCUACCAAGGCGACGAUCUGUAGCUGGUCUGAGAGGAUGAUCAGCCACACUGGGACUGAGACACGGCCCAGACUCCUACGGGAGGCAGCAGGGGGGA
rnacentral:rRNA from 1 species